rnacentral:rRNA from 1 species
GACGAACGCUGGCGGCAUGCCUAACACAUGCAAGUCGAACGAUGCCUUCGGGCAUACUGGGUCACUGGCGGGUAACCCGUUGGAGUAUGGGUGUCGAAUCGGAGUAACUCAGGCCCACUUGAGCUAAUACCGGCUAACGACCCAGGACCAAUUACUGAUCACCGAUAGAUGAGCCCGCGGAGGAUUAGCUAGUUGGUGCGGUAAAGGCUCACCAAGGCGACGACCCUUAGCUGGUCUGAGAGGAUGAUAGGCCGCACUGAGGCUGAGAGACGGCACAGACUCCGAAGGGAGGACGAAGUGGGGAAGCUUGGACCAUGGGCGAAGGCCUGAUGAAGCAAUGCCGCGUGAGGGAUGCUGGCGUUGGCCUUGUGGAGCCCUUUUAGCCGGGAAGAUAAUGACGGUACCGGGAGAAUAAGCACCGGCUAACUCCGUG